UACAGAUAAAAGAUGAACAACAAGGACCGUGUUUCGAUGUAAAGACAACUGAAGAGCCGGCGCUCAACCAAGCGGAUUUGCCCCAAACAACUUACGACAUAGAUAUAUCAAAGGCCAAGGACCGGAUUAGUGAAAUGGACGACUCUGGAAAAUUCCAACUUCUUCAGACCAGAAAACCCAAAUCUUUCAAUUUCCCUGCCAGAGAAUUUAAAGACAACCGAAGAGCCAGUGGGGAGACCAAAAGAACAUGCCAGAGGGACUGGCUGGACAAGUAUGACUUUUUUCAUUUUUACAUCAUAUAAAGAUGAUCUACCGUCAGGAUCAACAUUCAGGCAGGAAGUGAAGUUGUGGCACACAAAGUGGUCAUCAUCAGUGGAAAAACCCAGCUCUCUCCCUGAAAUUCUAAAGAUAACAAAUAUGAAGUGCUACCCAAGCAUUUAUAUGAUUCUUCACCUUCUGUCAGUCAUACUUGUUACCAGUGCUUCUGUGGAACGUGCUAACUCGGGUCUUAAAGCAGUGAAAACUUUGCUGAGGUCAACAAUGGGACAGGAAAGGUUUGUGGCUUUGCUACUUUUGUAUGUGCACAAGGACAUUCAAUUAAACAUCAACAAAAUCAUAGACAUAUUUGCCCAGAAGCAUCCCAGAAGUUUGACAUUUGUAAACCCAUUAUCAUCAUCAUAAAGUUUGUAGUAGAGAACAAUAUUCUUUGUCUGGUUUAACUUUGUUUUUUUUUGUUUUUCAACAGUUUAUCUUGUUAAAAUAUAUUCAAAACUCCUUUGUCUUACUUGAACCAUACUUGAACCCAAGUCCUUGGGUUUUUUUUAUUUCAUGUUCUGUGUAAAUAUCAUUUCUGGAAAUAAAGAAACUCCUUGUUU